rnacentral:rRNA from 1 species
ACGGGGGGAGCAAGCGUUGUUCGGAAUCACUGGGCGUAAAGGGCGUGUAGGCGGUUCGGUAAGUGGAAUGUGAAAUGCUCCGGCUCACCCGGAGCACUGCAUCCCAAACUGCCGAGCUUGAGUAUGGGAGAGGAUGAGGGAAUUCCUGGUGUAGCGGUGAAAUGCGUAGAUAUCUGGAGGAACACCGGUGGCGAAGGCGGCAUCCUGGACCGAUAUUGACACUGAUGCGCGAAAGCCAGGGGAGCAAACGGGA